rnacentral:sRNA from 12 species
UGCCUAAACCACCAGCGCAAGCUGGUCGCAUGGCGACUAACUAAGACCAUAGAAAGCACUGAACCCCGCGUUCAGCAGCUUUCUAUGGCCAUGCCCGAAAGGGUAUGGGGCCGCAAGGCUC